rnacentral:pre_miRNA from 1 species
AAUAGAUGACGCCGUUGAUUUUUUCUCACAUGUUUGACCAUUCGUCUUAUUUAAAAAUUUUAUGCAAAUGUAUAAGAUAUAAAUCACACUUAAAGUACUAUGAGUGAUAAAACAACUCAUAACAAAAAUAAAUUAUAAUUACGUAAAUUUUUUAAAUAAGACGAAUGGUCAAACAUGUGAGAAAAAGUCAACAGCGUCAUGUAUU